UACAGGGGGUGCAAACGUUGCUCGGAAUCAUUGGGCGUAAAGCGCACGUAGGCGGUUCGUUAUGUCGGAUGUGAAAGCCCUUGGCUUAACCGAGGAAGUGCAUCCGAAACUGGCGAGCUAGAGUACUAAAGAGGAUCGCGGAAUUCCCGGUGUAGAGGUGAAAUUCGUAGAUAUCGGGAGGAACACCGGUGGCGAAGGCCGAUCUGGGUAGAUACUGACGCUGAGGUGCGAAAGCGUGGGGAGCAAACAGG
rnacentral:rRNA from 1 species